GCGUCGGUGGUUCAGUGGUAGAAUUCUCGCCUGCCACGCGGGUGACCCGGGUUUGAUUCCCGGCCGACGCA
rnacentral:tRNA from 1 species